rnacentral:rRNA from 1 species
AAUAGAUACCCCGGUAGUCCACGCCGUAAACGAUGAAUGCCAGCCGUUGGGGUGCAUGCACUUCAGUGGCGCAGCUAACGCUUUAAGCAUUCCGCCUGGGGAGUACGGUCGCAAGAUUAAAACUCAAAGGAAUUGACGGGGGCCCGCACAGGCGGUGGAGCAUGUGGUUUAAUUCGAAGCAACGCGCAGAACCUUACCAGCUUUUGACAUGUCCGGUUUGAUCGACAGAGAUGUCUUUCUUCAGUUCGGCUGGCCGGAACACAGGUGCUGCAUGGCUGUCACCAGCUCGUGUCGUGAGAUGUUGGGUUAAGUCCCGCAACGAGCGCAACCCUCGCCCCUAGUUGCCAUCAUUCAGUUGGGCACUCUAAGGAGACUGCCGGUGAUAAGCCGCGAGGAAGGUGGGGAUGACGUCAAGUCCUCAUGGCCCUUACGGGCUGGGCUACACACGUGCUACAAUGGCGGUGACAAUGGGAUGCAAAGGGGUGACCCUUAGCAAAUCUCCAAAAGCCGUCUCAGUUCGGU